ACCGAGCCGGCCGGCGGGUCCAGCGGGAGCACGGGAAGUGAAGAUAUACUGAACUAUACAUAUCUGACAGAUGGGGCAGGGUUGAACGCCGUCGACGGUGCGUGGAUGAGCCGUGGCUCGACGUUGUCGCCGGCGUCCUGAUCCGUGGAUCAGGUACGGUGGUUCCCGCUAGCGCCGGCAGUGCACGCAGUUAAUGCAGUGGUUGGGCGACUCGGUGGAUAAGGAAGUGAAGUUGGAUUUGUGUCUUAUCCCGGUGGGGGGAGAGGUGGAGACAUUGACUCCGGCGACGGCGAGUGGGCGGUCCGGCGAUCUCGGAGGGGUUCCGCCGACCAUGGAAUUCUUGCUGCAGCCAAUAAACAGAACUCUGCUUGAGGAGGUCAAUGAAAAUAACGGGACAAUGGAGCCCGUGCGGUUCCCGGUGGCCGCGCCGGCGGAGAUACCUGCUCCAGCCCCGGCCAGUUCAAGUGCGGACGGCCAGAUCUAUCGGCCGGAAGCGGCAGGCGGGGACAAGGCUCAGGGGUCCGAGCACUCGAUAGAGCAGUUGGACCCGAAGACACUAGGAUGGACGCAAAGGGGAAGCCAAUCGUUGAGAAUACUCGUUCGUGCUAGUGUGAAUGCCCAGCCCUCAUCAGACUACUGAGGACAAAGGACAUUGGCGGGAUGAGAGGGAUGACUCAGUACAAAUGGGGAGGGGAUGCUGGCUCGUCGAGCAGCUCAACCCUUUUCAGUGUAGAGGUGCCUCAUGGGAGCCUCAGCAGUCUCCCACCCUGCAUCGUCAUUGAGAAAUUCUGAAGAAUGCACAAGGGUUUGCAGCGAUCCGAUCCAGGCAGAGGAGGAGUCUGAAGCAUCAGUUAACCAGGGAGAUGAGCCCGUGAUACAUGAAAACUCAGGCAUCUCCACGGUGUCUCUGCAAGUGUCCAUGGUAAGCCAGCGAUUGUUAGUGAAGAAUCUCAUGUACAUGCAUGUUUACUGUACUAGCAUUUUAUCAGGUGAGUGGGGAUGCUGAACUGCGGAAGGAACAACAGCUCGCCGAGCAGAUGAUGGAGCAAGGGAUUCAUGGGUGUCCAGAUGGAGAGGAAGGGUUCGGAGAGCAUGAUCCUGCUGCUAAUCAAGUGGAGCUGGAGCAGGAGGAAUCCCUGAAGCUGAUGUUAACAGCGGAUGGCGAUGUGGAGGAAAGCAAUCGCCACAGCGCCAAACGUGCUAGAAAGAAUUUCUGAUUAGAAGUGUAGUUCGUUGUUAGUACAGUCAGAUUAGGAAAAGAUGCCUUUGCCUUGUUGCUGACAUGUGUACUCAGUAAUUAGUUUGAGUGUGUUGAGUAGAUCUCUAGGUUUGUAAGUGGUUCAUCGGUGGAGUAGUGAACUCUGUACUGUAAUGCAGGGGAGUGCCUGCUGUUGUCAACAAGUAUAAAUCAACGUGUCUAAGCGAGGCUUAUUUGUGUGA